rnacentral:rRNA from 1 species
ACACAUGCAAGUCGAGGGGCAGCAUCAUCAAAGCUUGCUUUGAUGGAUGGCGACCGGCGCACGGGUGAGUAACACGUAUCCAACCUGCCGACAACACUGGGAUAGCCUUUCGAAAGAAAGAUUAAUACCGGAUGGCAUAAUUAUUCCGCAUGGGAUGAUUAUUAAAGAAUUUCGGUUGUCGAUGGGGAUGCGUUCCAUUAGGCAGUUGGCGGGGUAACGGCCCACCAAACCUACGAUGGAUAGGGGUUCUGAGAGGAAGGUCCCCCACAUUGGAACUGAGACACGGUCCAAACUCCUACGGGAGGCAGCAGUGAGGAAUAUUGGUCAAUGGACGAGAGUCUGAACCAGCCAAGUAGCGUGAAGGAUGACUGCCCUAUGGGUUGUAAACUUCUUUUAUACGGGAAUAAAGUUAGCCACGUGUGGCUUUUUGUAUGUACCGUAUGAAUAAGGAUCGGCUAACUCCGUGCCAGCAGCCGCGGUAAUACGGAGGAUCCGAGCGUUAUCCGGAUUUAUUGGGUUUAAAGGGAGCGUAGGCGGGUUGUUAAGUCAGUUGUGAAAGUUUGCGGCUCAACCGUAAAAUUGCAGUUGAUACUGGCGACCUUGAGUGCAACAGAGGUAGGCGGAAUUCGUGGUGUAGCGGUGAAAUGCUUAGAUAUCACGAAGAACUCCGAUUGCGAAGGCAGCUUACUGGAUUGUAACUGACGCUGAUGCUCGAAAGUGUGGGUAUCAAACAGGAUUAGAUACCCUGGUAGUCCACACAGUAAACGAUGAAUACUCGCUGUUGGCGAUAUACGGUCAGCGGCCAAGCGAAAGCAUUAAGUAUUCCACCUGGGGAGUACGCCGGCAACGGUGAAA